UACGGAGGAUCCAAGCGUUAUCCGGAAUCAUUGGGUUUAAAGGGUCCGUAGGCGGGUUAAUAAGUCAGUGGUGAAAGUCUGCAGCUCAACUGUAGAAUUGCCAUUGAUACUGUUAACCUUGAGUAGUUAUGAAGUGGUUAGAAUAUGUAGUGUAGCGGUGAAAUGCAUAGAUAUUACAUAGAAUACCGAUUGCGAAGGCAGAUCACUAAUAAUUCACUGACGCUGAGGGAUGAAAGCUGGGGGAGCAAACCGG
rnacentral:misc_RNA from 1 species